UACGUAGGGGGCGAGCGUUGUCCGGAUUCAUUGGGCGUAAAGAGCUCGUAGGCGGCUUGUCACGUCGGGUGUGAAAGACCGGGGCUUAACUCCGGUUCUGCAUUCGAUACGGGCUAGCUAGAGUGUGGUAGGGGAGAUCGGAAUUCCUGGUGUAGCGGUGAAAUGCGCAGAUAUCAGGAGGAACACCGGUGGCGAAGGCGGAUCUCUGGGCCAUUACUGACGCUGAGGAGCGAAAGCGUGGGGAGCGAACAGG
rnacentral:rRNA from 1 species